GACGAACGCUGGCGGCGUGCCUAAUACAUGCAAGUCGAACGGUCUUUUCUAUGGAAGCUUGCUUCCACUGAGAAGAUAGUGGCGAACGGGUGAGUAACACGUGGGUAACCUGCCCAUAAGAGGGGGAUAACAUCCGGAAACGGGUGCUAAUACCGCAUAGUUUUCUUGAUCGCAUGAUUGAGAAAGGAAAGACGGCCUUUGCGCUGUCGCUUAUGGAUGGACCCGCGGCGUAUUAGUUAGUUGGUGAGGUAACGGCUCACCAAGACGAUGAUACGUAGCCGACCUGAGAGGGUGAUCGGCCACAUUGGGACUGAGACACGGCCCAAACUCCUACGGGAGGCAGCAGUAGGGAAUCUUCCGCAAUGGACGAAAGUCUGACGGAGCAACGCCGCGUGAGUGAAGAAGGUUUUCGGAUCGUAAAACUCUGUU
rnacentral:rRNA from 1 species